UACGUAGGGUGCGAGCGUUGUCCGGAAUUAUUGGGCGUAAAGAGCUCGUAGGCGGUUUGUCACGUCUGCUGUGAAAUCCCGAGGCUCAACCUCGGGCCUGCAGUGGGUACGGGCAGACUGGAGUGCGGUAGGGGAGAAUGGAAUUCCUGGUGUAGCGGUGGAAUGCGCAGAUAUCAGGAGGAACACCAAUAGCGAAGGCAGCUCGCUGGGACGUUACUGACACUGAGGCGCGAAAGCGUGGGGAGCGAACAGG
rnacentral:rRNA from 1 species